rnacentral:rRNA from 1 species
AUGUUUACUUUUUUCAUUUUUUGGUAUUGCAUAUCAGUAGAAUUUUUUGUCAUUUUUUAUGAAUAAUAGAAGGAAAAUGUUAAGGUCGAAUUUGUUUUUUUUUUACGAACUUGAUAAUAUUCGUCUUGGUAUUGAUAUAACGUAUUUUUAUUUCUGUUUUUUUUAGGUGUAUUGUUAAGUUGUACUUUUUUUGGUUUUUGUUUUUUAUGUUUUUUUUUGUAUUGAUGUUUUGUUUUUGAUUUAUAUUUAUUUCUUGGUUUUUUGUUUUUUUUUGUUAUGGUUAAUAUUUUAAUCGUUUUUUAUUUUUUGCUUUAGUAGAUUUAUUAUUUAUUAGGUUUUUUUUUUUAAAUUUUUUUUUGGAACUGUAUUUGCUGCUAGAUGUUUAUUAAAAACUUAGGUUUUUAUUUAAAAUUAUCUUCUGCUCUAUGAUUUGUUUAAAUGGCAGCCUUAGCGUGAUGGCGUAAAAGUAGCGUAAGUGAUUUGUUUUUUUAUUGUUUUCAAGUAUGAAUGAAGUUUUUAGUGGUUUUUUUGCUUUUUUUUUUUUUGAAUUAUUUUUUUGAUUAAAAAUAAUUGGAUGUGGUACUACAAAGAUAAGUCUUCGGAAAUUUUUUUCUGUUUUACUAUUUUUUUUUUUUAGUAUUUUAGUUUUUUCUUGGGGAUGGAUUUUAAGAAAUUUUUUUUUCUAAUUUUAUUUUUAUAAAUUACUCCGGAGUUAACAGGGUUGUAGACAUGUAAAUAGUUUUUUAUAUUAGUGUGCUGCGCUACAUCGAUGUUGUAUAUUUUUUAUUUUUGGUGAGAGAGUUUUUUUUUUUUGAGACUGUUCUUCUUGUAUAAAAAUUUAACUUGAUAUUAGUUUAGUUCGUCGUGAGACAGAGCGGUUUAUCUUGUGUACCUUUUUUUUUGUCGGGAUGAGUACGAAAGGAAAGUUAUGGGGGUUAAUAUUUAUGACUUUUUUAUUUUUAUGGAUUUGUU